UACGUAGGGUCCGAGCGUUGUCCGGAGUUACUGGGCGUAAAGCGCGCGCAGGCGGCGGUGUUGGCCCGGCGUGAAAGCCCCCGGCUCAACCGGGGAGGGUCGUCGGGGACCGCACCGCUUGAGGGCGGUAGGGGCUGGUGGAAUGCCUGGUGUAGUGGUGAAAUGCGUAGAGAUCGGGAGGAACACCAGAGGCGAAAGCGGCGACCUGGACAGGUACUGACACUCAACUACGAAAGCGUGGGGAGCAAACAGG
rnacentral:rRNA from 1 species